rnacentral:siRNA from 1 species
GAUGACGGUUGCAAGGGUAAUGGU